GCACUUCCUCUUUGGCAGGUGUACAGCACAAGGCCUGUGAUGUAAAGAUAAAUGAGGAAGCUGAGGCUCAGAGAAGGAGAAUGAAAUGCCCAAGGACUGACCGAGAGCAAGAGGCAAAGAGAGGAUUUGAAACCCUGAGGUUAUCUGGAGCACUGGUAGCCUGCUAGACCCAAAGCAUAAAAAAGUACACUUGGAUAUGAGUAACAACUUCACAAGACCCACAUGGGAAGAUUUUAUACAUGAGUUCUACAUUUUGCCAGAAGUUCAAGAGCUUUCUGAUACUCUACAUUCAAGAGGGAGGCAGAGUUUCCUAUAUGU